ACAAAUAAUGUUGCGUAAUCCCUAUCAGUCUCUGCUUCUAAACUGAGCGCCUUUUGGUGGAGGGGAUGUGCAAAGAGCAGAGCUAAUAGUUUGCCCACAAGGAGGAGCUGACAGUGACGCUGAGCAGCCUGGAAAGUCAUCACUUGCUGUCUGCUUUUCAGCGAUUACAAACGGGGGGGUGAGACUGUGGUGCUCCUCUGUGCUUAUCAGCUGGUGUAAGGCUCCCUAAGCCAGAAUGUGAAGCCGGGUAUGUUUGUGAGCCAUAAAAGAAGCAGAGUUAUUUGCUGUCGAUGUGAAACCAAAAGUAACCAGUGCCAGGCUCUUGCUGUUGUAUCCAAUCCAGUGGAAUGUGGAUCUUGCUUCUUUUUCAUUGUCCAAAGAAGGAAAGCAACGCUGACAAAGUGCUAAAAGAGAAGAUCUGUGAACAAAGGAAAAGCUCUCCCCAGGCCCUAUGGGUAGGGCCAAAUUCCCCCAUGAUGUAACUCCCCUGAAGGCUAUCAUGGGAGA